rnacentral:rRNA from 1 species
CGGUUAUACCAAGUGAUUAACUUAUAUUUUUAGGUAAAAAGACAGCUAGGUUUUAUCUUAUAAAGUAACUUUAGUUUAUUAAACAUUUAUAAAAAAGUAAAAUUUGUAUAUAGAUAGCUAAUUUAAAAAUGACUAGAUAAUACUGAAGCUGUGAUAAUCUUGAGGGAAACUGGGAUUAGAUACCCCAUUAUUCUUGAUUGUAAAUAUAAUUAAAUUUACCAGAGUACUAUGAAUAGUUAAAAAUUUAAAACUCAAAGGGCUUGGCGGUGUUUUAGACCUAUCAGGGGAACCUGUCUCGUAAUCGACAAUCCGCGUAAUAUCUAACCUUAUUUUGUAAUCAGUUUGUAUACCGUCGUCGUCAGGUAACUUUUAAAAAUAUAGAAGUUAGCACUCAAAAUUUUUUAAAUUAAGACGUCAGAUCAAGGUGCAGCCUAUAAUAAGGAGAGGAUGGGUUACAGUUAUAAAAAUCAUAAUUACGGAAAUUUAAAUGGAACUUAUUUUGAAGGAGGACUUGAAAGUAAACUGAUAUGUACAUAAAUAGUUUGAAUAAGGCUCUG